UACUUGUCUUUCUCUGACUGGCUUAUUAUUUCACUCGGCAUAAUGCUCUCCAGGCCCCUCGCGCUGUCGCAAAGGGUGAGACUUCCUUCCCUUUGCAGCCGAGUGCUGCUUCGCUGUGUGAAUGUCCCACAGCGUUUUCAUCUGCGGACGGGCCCUGGGGCUGCUCCCAGAUCCUGGCUGCUCCCGGAUCCUGGCUGCUGUGACGGCUCUGCAGCCACUGGAGGUGGCGGUGGUCCUUGGGACAAACCUGAGAACCCGAGACCUCAGAGAGGAACCCUGCGGCGUGGGAAGCGAUCCAGGACCUCUGAGGUGUCCCCGAGCUUCCUCAGACGGAGGCCACGGACAUCACAAGGCCUUUUCAGGUGGAGGGACACGCCACAGGCUGGUGUUUGGUGAGCAGUAGAGUUCGUGUGAGCCACAUCGAGGAUCAUCACUCCACACUCGGCUUCUAUUUUAGGCGUGUGACUCAGGGAGAUGCAUUUGCUUCGCGUUGGGAUCUGACUUCAUAUCCUGGACCCCGAGCUCCCCCUCCAGGGAUGUAAUUACUGUGCUUACAUCUCAGACUGGCUUCAUCAGCGUUUGCAAAGCAGAGGACCAGCUAGAAAACCGUGACCACAAAAACCGCCUGAAGACCAGAACAGCUCGUAAAAUCUCCACAUUCCUGGCCUGGCUACAGACUCAAAGGGUGACUCAGAACCACACCAACCCCCACUGCGCGGGGACAGGCGCAGAGCGAGCCCUGAGUGCUCCGAGGGGAAGGGUCGCUGUGUGGAAAGACGCUGUCUCCAGGCAUUUCUCCAUGAACUGCAGCGAGCGAAUGGCAAAUCAGGAAUCAGCAGAGAUGCAACAGCAUGGAUGGAACUGGAGAGCAUUAUGCUAAGUGAAAUAAGCCAGGCAGUGAAAGAAAAA